rnacentral:tRNA from 1 species
AGCCCUGAGGUGUGAAACAUAUUAGAUUGCAAAUCUUAAGUUGCAGGUUAACGCCUGCCGGGGCUU